rnacentral:rRNA from 1 species
UACGGGAGGCAGCAGUGGGGAAUAUUGCACAAUGGGCGCAAGCCUGAUGCAGCCAUGCCGCGUGUAUGAAGAAGGCCUUCGGGUUGUAAAGUACUUUUCAGUCGUGAGGAAGGUGUUAAGGUUAAUAACCUUAGCAAUUGACGUUAGCGACAGAAGAAGCACCGGCUAACUCCGUGCCAGCAGCCGCGGUAAUACGGAGGGUGCGAGCGUUAAUCGGAAUUACUGGGCGUAAAGGGCACGCAGGCGGUUAAUAAGUUGGAUGUGAAAUCCCCGGGCUUAACCUGGGAAUGGCAUUCAAGACUGGUUAGCUAGAGUCUUGUAGAGGGGGUAGAAUUCCAUGUGUAGCGGUGAAAUGCGUAGAGAUGUGGAGGAAUACCGGUGGCGAAGGCGGCCCCUGGACAAAGGCUGACGCUCAUGUGCGAAAGCGUGGGGAGCAAAC